rnacentral:misc_RNA from 1 species
AAGUCGUAACAAGGUUUCCGUAGGUAAACCUGCAGAAGGAUCAUUACCUUUCAAUGCAGCAGAAUUAGGAUAGUUAAGUAUCUCGCCUCUCCGUUCUGCCUGUAUUCUACCCUUAUUUGUCAUAUACUAUUAUUUCCUCAGCAGGCUUGCCUGCCAAGUAAAACCAUUUAUAACCUUUUUAAUUUUCAAUCAGCGUCUAAAAAAAACUAAUAAUUACAACUUUCAACAACGGAUCUCUUGGUUCUG